rnacentral:rRNA from 1 species
UACGGGGGAGCAAGCGUUGUUCGGAUUUACUGGGCGUAAAGGGCGCGUAGGCGGCCAGCACAAGUCAGUUGUGAAAUCUCCGAGCUUAACUCGGAAAGGUCAACUGAUACUGUGCGGCUAGAGUGCAGAAGGGGCAACUGGAAUUCUUGGUGUAGCGGUGAAAUGCGUAGAUAUCAAGAGGAACACCUGCGGCGAAGGCGGGUUGCUGGGCUGACACUGA